AACGAACGCUGGCGGCAGGCUUAACACAUGCAAGUCGAACGCCCCGCAAGGGGAGUGGCAGACGGGUGAGCAACGCGUGGGAAUCUACCUAGUUCUACGGAACAACAGUUGGAAACGACUGCUAAUACCGUAUACGCCCUAUGGGGGAAAGAUUUAUCGGAAUUAGAUGAGCCCGCGUAAGAUUAGCUAGUUGGUGAGGUAAUGGCUCACCAAGGCGACGAUCUUUAGCUGGUCUGAGAGGAUGAUCAGCCACACUGGGACUGAGACACGGCCCAGACUCCUACGGGAGGCAGCAGUGGGGAAUAUUGGACAAGGGGCGCAAGCCUGAUCCAGCCAUGCCGCGUGAGUGAUGAAGGCCCUAGGGUUGUAAAGCUCUUUCAGUAGGGAAGAUAAUGACGGUACCUACAGAAGAAGCCCCGGCUAACUUCGUGCCAGCAGCCGCCGUAAUAC
rnacentral:rRNA from 1 species